GCUCAAGGCGGAGGAGGACUCCAGCGGCUCCAGUACCAGCCUGGACUCCCGCAUCGAGAGCCUGGAAGUGUGCAUCCCACGUGUCUGUAUAUACGCAGACACACACAUACUGCAUUUACAUUAUUUGAACACUUUUAAUAUUACACAAGCAUGAUUCAAGAAAUGAAGCAAAUAACAUAAAACUUGGAGACAACAGCCAUGUGCUAAAGAUGGUGGCACAGGAGGAUAGAAUAAGCCUGGUUUUGAACACGUGUUUGGGCUCCUGUACCAUCCCUGCACAGCCUAGGAAACUUCUGAUGAUGGGAGCAAUUUGUUAUUGAAGCAGGACUGUCUUUCACUCACAACUGAAUGAAAUCUUAGGAGAUAGAGUAUUAAUGAAACUCUGAGAAUUCCAGUGCCUACUAGAGUCUUCAGUCUGGAUGCUCUGAUCACAUUCAUGUCAAAUAAAAAUGUUUUAAAAAUAAACAAUUUAAAAAAUAAAUAAAUAAAUAAAUAAAGUUUUCAGUCAUCUUCCCAAUAGCAGAGGAAAAGAUGUUUUAAAGGGAACUACAUUACUACAUUUAGUAUUAUAAUACUAAAUACAUAUAUACAUAAUAUAUAAUAUU
rnacentral:lncRNA from 1 species